UAGACGCGCAGUGCGUCGCGCGCGUGAUAAGUGUUUUGUUAUUGUUUACGUAUAUAGCGACCGGAUAUCUAUAGCGCGCGAAAAGUUAUUUUGUUAUUGCCGUGAGGCGGGCGUAUAAGCGCCGCCGUUAAGCGUAAAUACAGCGCUGGGCCAAAUAAGCGACCAUUGUGAGCCAUAGCGACAAGCCCGAUAGUCAUGUAGCGGACGGAUGGCAGCCUAGUUAAGGAGAUUUCGAGUUGGCUGGGGAAGAAAAAGGUGGCGAGCUCGAGGAUGCGCGCCAGAGAUGCAUUGGUUAUAUAGUAUACAUUUAGUCCGCGCGAGCAGAGCGUUGGCGCUGAGGGCCGACCUGCCCUUCGGCAGCCGACCGAUGGUGUUCUUUCGACCCGUUGAAGAGGGCGUUUGGCUUGACUUCGUUUGGCACUGAGGGCGACUUGCCCUUUGGUGAUCGAACGGUCGUCGUGUUUUUAUACACUUGGAGUUACAGGACGGAUGGGUGUUCGAGGAACAUUGAAAGAGAUUUUGCCGAAAAGAAUCAUCGUAGCGACGAGAAUUGUCGCGUUUUUUUUGUUUCAACUAUAAAAAUGUUGUGUGUCAACAGUUCUUUCACAACAAACUCACUGUCUAAACACACAAGAUCGAUGAGCGUAAAGGCAGAUAUUAGCAAGAAUGACGGUGUGUAAGAUUUGAUGGUGUCGUUCCCGGACCACAAAUCGACCGCGUAACCAGCAAUAAAUGCUGUGAUUCCAAAACCGAUCGAACCCCAGACCCUUUGCCUUCCGUAACUCAUUUGACCGCCUUCGCCUCUUUUUAUCGAUAUCAGUAAUCAUACCCAAUACAUCGAAGCAGAUAGCGUCACUGAUGCAAUUCGACACGUUGAAGCCGAUAUUUCCAAGGGCCAUCAGUAGGACGAAUCCCAGGAAGGUCAGCGACCAGUAGAUACAGGCGCUCUCGUGCUUCGAGUCAUCGCAGGUGAUUUGACAGACGUCAUCCUCGAGACAGUACGUCGAGUUCGAUUCGCUCACGAAGCAGGAGGAAUGUUUAUCAAAACUAGCCUCGCGGCUCGUCCUGAAGAAGGCUUGCGCGCUGAAGUUGCCGGCGUCGCGACAGAUCCACACGCAGUCCGAUAUCCUGCCGUCGUCUUCGCAUGAAUCUGUUACAUUGAUUCUCUGGAUAAUAAUUCGCACAAAGCAGAUCAUUACCAUCGUCGAGCACCGCUCGAUAGCCGAGCAGGAGACGUUGAAGAACUCUCCCUUGUCUGGUAGAACCGGCGCGGGCAACGACGGCAAAAAGUACAUGAGCACAUAGCAGCCGCUGGUCGUAGCGAGUAGCCCGACGAAGAUGGCCCGUCGCCAGGCGCGAAAGUGAUCGACGACGAAGCCGAAAGCCGGUUUCGCCACGAGGAACAGCAGCGGCAGUACUGCCGUUAUGCUGCCCAUCACCGCUGGAGAAACGCCCAGCUGCUUGCCGUAGACCGGCAGGUAUGGCAGUAUCGGCCCCAUCGCUAGAAUCACAUCACGGCUAUCGAGAUACUGCUCGUGACGAUUCGCUCAUCGUGCCUAGACCUGAAGAAGAAAGAGAUCAUGACAUUGAGAGUGUAAAAAGCGUCUGUAUUUGGUCGCGGUAUCUUUACGAUUGAUAAAUUACAAAAGUGGAAGAUAAAAGGUUUACAUUGUAUCGAUAUGUGCAAACUCGUGCUUACAGAAAUAAUCUCCGUGUAAACGAUAAGCGCCCGCAACGCAUCACUGAAAUGACUCGAGUUCAUUAAGUAAUACAUCAUGUACUGAAUGGUUUAUUCGUUACAUGGGCGAUUUUAUAAAUAAUCGAAAUUUGGAUAAUGCUUAUCGAGAGAUUUUUGCGUCGGAUAAAUUUUUACUCUAUACUAGAACUCGCGAGAGGUAAAUUAAUUAGGAUUCAAGCUUGGAAUUAUCUCUCUAUUCUGUAUGAUUUUAUGAUAAGAUAAAAGUAUUUAUUUAAUAAAGCGCACGUCAAAGGCUAUUCGAUGGAAAA